CCUGCCCUGGCGCCCAGGAGCUGGGCGUGGCCUCCUUUCUUAAAGGCAUUUCUGGGUGUUAUGAUUGGAUCCGAUUUGCUUCUGGAAUCUGGAUCUCCCUGCUGCCUGCCAGUCUAUGUGACAGGCAAGUUACCCGAGACACAGUGCACGAGGCCAGUAAAUGACCCCACAGUGGCUCUAAGCAUCCAUGUGUCAGGGUCACACGCAUUUCCUUGAAAUCAGAAGCUAGAGAUGCCAAGGCCUGGUGAAGAAGACUCAGGCGAGGAGGCUGAGGUCGCCCCUGGAGGCUGCUCAGGUGUCUCGGCACAGGCGAGUGUGGAAGCCGCAGUGCACCGUCCAGGAGACCGGCUGUCGCACUGAACAAGGAUUCUCAGUGUGGACGCGUCGGCCGCGUCGGAAGAGGCUGCUGAGGACUUCUGUGGCUCAGUGGGGUCCAUGCCUGCCUUCCAAGCUUCCAAGGACAGCUGACCCUUAUCAAAGGCUGAUGUAGUGGGUGGCUCUAAGUCUAGGCCAGUGCUCACUGACCACCUGGAAAUCCAGGGCCUGAGGGACAGCACUGGAGCCACCGUGUCUGGUUCUGGGAAUGGAGCCUCGGGCCUGGAUGGCAGCCUGAUUCCACCAGGGAAACCCGGUCCCCAACAGCUCUGGUGGAGAGGGACACGGGGCCCGUGUUGUGUCCAGGCCUGCUGGCCCAGCACCCCUGUGCACCCGGGGACUGGGAGUCAUUCUGACUCCACAUCUUCUUGUUUAAGAAGCGUGUUCUGUGGGGCUGUGAGUGCCCUUGAUGGUGCCUCCUCUGAUCCGGGCAGUUGAAAACCUGGAAGGGUUCCGUUCCGGAUGCCGGUAAGAACAUUCGUGGUCAGGGGAGGGGGGCAAGAUCCCUACACUAACGGGAAGAAGUUCAUCCCGACCCUCACGGGGACUUUGGGGGGCUCAGGACGGCGGGGGAGAAGGAACUGCGCAGGCGAUGCACGCGGCAAGAGGCCCAGACUGAGAAGUGGAGCCUGAGGACUGGCUGGGCCAGCACCUUGGUUACACAGAACCUUGCAAAGGCAAGGGUCAGGCAUACCAAGCUCUCGAUCCACAGAAAGUGCGAGGUAAGGAAUGUUGAGCUUUGAGCCACCGAGUUAGGCAGGACCUAUGGCUAGGUAUACAGCUGGAAUACACUGAGUUAGAUGUGGCCCUGGAGUCAGCUCUGAUCCGUACGUAGAGUAUGAGCAGAGCCAGGUAGGGGUCCUAAGAGGGACCCAGCCAGGUGCUCUCCCCCUCGUCACAGCUGGACACGGUGUAACCAGCAUGGGUACUGUGGAGGAGGUGACGUCCUAGGUCAUGGCAGGGAAACCAGAUGGAAGGAACUGGGCACCUGCCUUAGUCCAAUCCAUUGCUAUAUCUGCAUACUCCAGACGGGGUAGUUUAUAAGAGGAGAGGGUUAUUCAGCCCUGGUUCUGGAGCCUGGGAGCCCAAGAGCGUGGUGCUGUGGUGCUGCAGCAUAGUGUGAUGGAGGGCACCGUGUGGCAAGACAGCAGGUGUGCCGGGGAGAGCUGCUUCCUAACAAAGCCACACCUGUAGGGACUCUGUUGUCCAUUACCCACAAGUGGAUUAACCCACUCAGGAAGGCAGAGCCCUCAAGCCCACUCACCUCCCAGAGGUCCUACCUCUCAUUAUUGGGGACCAUGUGUAAGUAGCCUGGCCAUCUGUGUGUCCCCAGAACAUUCACAUUGGACUGUUAACAGGUGAGAGAAGUAAUCAUGUAAAUCAUUGACUGGAAUGGGUGUUGGGGCUUUUUGUUACAGCAGCUAGCCUUACUAAUUCCCGGAAGAAAUAAAACACACAAUUCAAAAAGAAAAUAAAAACCAAUCUACUAGAAAAAAGGGCAAAAGACAAAUGAGUGCUCUUCACAAGAAAAUAAACAUAAUUGACUUCUAGAAGAUGAACAGUUGCCACAUGUGAUUCUUAGGCAAGUGGUGUCUGUCUUCUCUGAGACGCACUUUUCACCUGACUUGAAUGAUCAUUUAAAAUGCUGACGAAUCCCAAGUUUGACGUUGGUGUAAGGGAAGUUUCCUCUUAGAUGCUCCUCUGUUGGUAGGAAUGCAAUCUGUGUAACUUUCUGGAACACACACACACACGCACACACACUCACACACAAAACAGGUAGAAUACUAAAAUACAUACCUGCUAUAUAUAAACGUAUUGCAGUGUCUACACUCUGUUUGCUCACGUGCAAGUAUAACGUGGCAUCACAUGUUACUGAGUAUAUGUGUGACCAUUUUUUUUUUUUUCCUGGAAGCAAAUUACAAGGCACUUUUAGCCAGACGGUAGAAGGACUGGGGCUGAGGUAAGGGCUCUUCUCUGUCCAUUUCAUUUCUCUCUUAACUAUCUGAAUUUCACGACCGUGAAUUUUUAUUUAACAAAAAGCAGAUGGAUUACCUGGUGGUGAUUGGCAUGGCUCUACCUGCUGAGUAGAGGACCUCGCUGGCACCCAAGGGAUGGCACCCUAAGGCUGUUCCCACGUGUGUGCACACCUGUAUGUGGGCCUGUGCACCUGCACACUCAUGCUUC